rnacentral:lncRNA from 1 species
CAAAGGGAGCCAAGAAGAAAGUGCUUGAUCCAUUUUCUAAGAAAGAUUUGUAUUACGUGAAAGCAUCUGCCAUGUUCAAUAUAAGAAAUAUUGGGAAGACACUAGUCACCAGAACCCAAGGAACCAUAAUUGAAUCUGAUGGCCUCAAGGGUCGUGUAUUUGAAGUGAGUCUUGCUGAUAUGCAGAAUGAUAAAGUUGCAUUUAGAAAAUUCAGCUGAUUACUGAAGAUGUUCAGGGGAAUGAUUGCCUGAUGAGCUUCCAUGGCGUGGAUCUUACCUGUGACAAAAUAUGUUUCAUGGUCAAAAAAUGGCAGACAAUGGUUGAAGGUCAUGUCAAUAUCAAGACUACCGGUGCUUACUUGCUUCAUGUGUUCUGUGUUGGUUUUACUAAAAAAUGCAACAAUCAGAUACGGAAGACCUCUUAUGCUUAGCACCAAUGUUUCGGCCAAAUCUGGAACAAGUUGAUGGAAAUCAUGACCCGAGAGGUGCAGACAAAUUACUUGAAAGAAGUGGUCAAUAAAUUGAUUCCAGACAGGAUUGGAAAAGACAUAGAAAAAAUUCUUGCCAAUCUAUCCUCUCCAUGAUGUCUUUGUUAGAUAAGUUAAAAUGCUGAAGAAGCCUAGCUUUGAAUUGGGGAAACUCAUGGAGCUUUAUGGUGAAGGUAGCAGUUCUGGAAAAGCCACUGAGGACAAAACAGGUGCUAAAGUAGAACGAGCUGAUGGAUAUGAACCACUAGUCCAAGAAUC